UGAAAGUCAAGCAGGAAAUAUUCAAGCAAUAGAUAAAGACAGUGUUCAUAAUAUUUGCUCUGGUCAAGUUAUUUUAACUCUUUCUUCAGCAGUUAAAGAGUUAAUAGAAAACAGUUUAGAUGCUGGAGCUACUAAUAUUGGUUCGUACAAAAGAAUAUGGAAGUGAAUUAAUAGAAGUUAUUGAUAAUGGAUCUGGUGUAAAGGAAAAGAAUUUCAAAGAAUUAACUUUGAAACAUUAUACAUCAAAAAUAAAAGAUUUUCACGAUAUUUCAAGUUUAAGAA